GUUCUCCUAUGUUAUUAUCACUGUGCCAUGAUCAUACUGGUCACUUCUCUUCUACAUGAAGCAGGUAGGUUCUCCUCUGUUAUUAUCACUGUGCCAUGAUCAUACUGGUCACUUCUCUUCUACAUGAAGCAGGUAGGUUCUCCUCUGUUCUGAUCACUGUGCCAUGAUCAUACUGGUCACUUCUCUUCUACAUGAAGCAGGUAGGUUCUCCUCUGUUCUGAUCACUGUGCCAUGAUCAUACUGGUCACUUCUCUUCUACAUGAAGCAGGUAGGUUCUCCUCUGUUCUGAUCACUGUGCCAUGAUCAUACUGGUCACUUCUCUUCUACAUGAAGCAGGUAGGUUCUCCUCUGUUCUGAUCACUGUGCCAUGAUCAUACUGGUCACUUCUCUUCUACAUGAAGCAGGUAGGUUCUCCUCUGUUCUGAUCACUGUGCCAUGAUCAUACUGGUCACUUCUCUUCUACAUGAAGCAGGUAGGUUCUCCUCUGUUCUGAUCACUGUGCCAUGAUCAUACUGGUCACUUCUCUUCUACAUGAAGCAGGUAGGUUCUCCUCUGUUCUGAUCACUGUGCCAUGAUCAUACUGGUCACUUCUCUUCUACAUGAAGCAGGUAGGUUCUCCUCUGUUCUGAUCACUGUGCCAUGAUCAUACUGGUCACUUCUCUUCUACAUGAAGCAGGUAGGUUCUCCUCUGUUCUGAUCACUGUGCCAUGAUCAUACUGGUCACUUCUCUUCUACAUGAAGCAGGUAGGUUCUCCUCUGUUCUGAUCACUGUGCCAUGAUCAUACUGGUCACUUCUCUUCUACAUGAAGCAGGUAGGUUCUCCUCUGUUCUGAUCACUGUGCCAUGAUCAUACUGGUAACUUCUCUUCUAC